rnacentral:rRNA from 1 species
UACGAAGGGGGCUAGCGUUGUUCGGAAUUACUGGGCGUAAAGGGCUCGUAGGCGGCCAACUAAGUCAGACGUGAAAUCCCUCGGCUUAACCGGGGAACUGCGUCUGAUACUGGAUGGCUUGAGAUUGGGAGAGGGAUGCGGAAUUCCAGGUGUAGCGGUGAAAUGCGUAGAUAUCUGGAGGAACACCGGUGGCGAAGGCGGCAUCCUGGACCAUACUUGACGCUGAGGCGCGAAAGCUGGGGGAGCGAACGGG